UGCACCCUGAGAAAGUAUAUAACGAGCACGAAGACAAUAAAGAUUCACUGCAGGCUGGACAUGACAGUCCCCCGUGUCUGAUUUCCCUCCCCGUCGUGUCCCAGGUCCAGGACUCACCAGAAGUCCACAAGUGGCGCCAGAACAGGGACCUGAAGGGAACCUACCACUAAAGUGACGAGGUGACGAUGGUGGCGGUGAAAGUUUGCAAAAGGUGGACUGGCCAACCCGAAAAAAGAAAAAACCCCGGUGGAGUCUGAUGGAUCCUCCGAAACAAUAUGGACACCUCUUCCGCUCAUCCUGCCCGGGAUCCCGGCCCUCCAAGAGACUGCCCCAGACUCCAGACGAAAUCACCAUGGGAGACCCUCCAGCGUCUCCUCAGCCACUUCUGUGGGAGACACAGAAGCCAUUAAUCCAGAGCAGGGCCCGUCUUUUGUUAUAAAGAAAAAGAAGGUCACCAAUAGUCCUGUUGCUCCCAUUGCAUGGGGCAGUGUCAAGGCACUCAGCAACCACGGUGAAUGGUGAAUGAGUUCUCCGCAAACAGGGAGCUCCAAUAACCCGGGAAAAUAUGUUCCUUGCUAUGGUGGCAGUCAUCACUUGUGCCUCUGCCGUAGGUGCCAACUAAACACAUGUAUAUUUGGCAUGUAUUCCAUAUCCCCCAUUGUUACAGGUGGUAGAAAGGGGGCACAUUGGGCCUGUCGAUUUCGCCAACGACACUCAACAUAUGCCUGGGCCAUGGUCAAAAGAGGAAUCUUCUCGUCCUGAUGAGGAGGAGCGUAGUUUUGAUUUUACCUUAGGAUAUGAACACCUUCCCCUGUGUUGGUGUACACCUUGCACACCCAUUGCCCCACAGACCUGGGUUAAUACUGCUCCUCCUAUUAAAAUCGAUGAUCAAUCAGGCUCGCAGGUUCAUACGCUUAUGGAUAUGUAUGUUGCUCUUUCUUUUAAUUUUACUGAAGUGAACACAAUGUCCAAGGCACGAGGUAAUAAGCUGGUUUGUCGACAAAUUUCAUAUAAGAAUUAUACAUAUUCCCCUACUUUUUGGAAUCAGUGCCAUGGAUUAAAAGGAAAAUUGUUAAAUUCAGGGAAUUAUACUUUUGUUGAUUGGGGACCUCAUGGGAAGUUUUUGACUCUGGUGAAUCCUCUCAUCCCAAGCAUGUCUGGCCUGCACCCCAGCUCUUGUAUGCAUAAUAAAUAAAUCUUUAGAAAAAUGCU